rnacentral:rRNA from 1 species
AUUGAACGCUGGCGGCCGGCCUAACACAUGCAAGUCUAACGCGUGGCGGACGGGUGAGUCAUGUCUGUGAAACUGCCCGAUGGAGGGGUAUCACUACUGGAAACUGUAGCUAAUACCUCAUACCAUCGGAUGUUCCCAGAUGGGAUUAGCUAGUAGGUGGGGUAACGGCUCACCUAGGCGACGAUCCCUAGCUGGUCUGAGAGGAUGACCAGCCACACUGGAACUGAGCAACGGUCCAGACUCAUACGGGAGGCAGCAGUGGGGAAUAUUGCACAAUGGGCGCAAGCCGGAUGCAGCCAUGCCGCGUGUAUGAAGAAGGCCGUCGGGUUGUAAAGUACUUUCAGCGAGGAGGCGUUACUCGCAGAAGAAGCACCGGCUAACUCCGUGCCAGCAGCCGCGGUAAUAC